UACAGAGGUCUCGAGCGUUGUUCGGAUUCAUUGGGCGUAAAGGGUGCGUAGGUGGCGCUGUAAGUCGGGUGUGAAAUCCUGAGGCUUAACCUCGGAACUGCAUUCGAUACUGCGGCGCUUGAGGACUGGAGAGGAGACUGGAAUUUACGGUGUAGCAGUGAAAUGCGUAGAUAUCGUAAGGAAGACCAGUGGCGAAGGCGAGUCUCUGGACAGUUACUGACGCUGAGGCACGAAGGCCAGGGGAGCAAACGGG
rnacentral:rRNA from 1 species